rnacentral:rRNA from 1 species
UACGUAGGGGGCUAGCGUUGUCCGGAAUCAUUGGGCGUAAAGAGCGUGUAGGCGGUUCGGUAAGUCUGCUGUGAAAGUCCAGGGCUCAACCCUGGAAUGCCAGUGGAAACUGCCGAGCUAGAGUCCGGAAGAGGCGAGUGGAAUUCCUGGUGUAGCGGUGAAAUGCGCAGAUAUCAGGAGGAACACCGGUGGCGAAGGCGGGUCUCUGGGCCGAUACUGACGCUGAGGAGCGAAAGCGUGGGGAGCGAACAGG